CGCGUCCUGUUUCGUCGCUGAACUCGCCCCCUGUUGCGUCGUCGCCGAGCUCGCCUCCUGUUGCGUCGUCGCCGAGCUCGCCUCCUCUUCCGUCGUCGCCGUUACUCGCCGCCGAUGGAACAAUCACAAAGUAACCCACAGCCACAAGAUAAUGCUGAGAAGUGAUUGAGCAAUCUGGAGCAGUUCUUGCAGGCGAUCACGCCCUCUGUGCCUGCUCAGUAUCUUUCUAUGGUUAGUUUUCAGUAACUAGCUGGCAAGUUUUGGCUGGAAUUUUUAAUAGUUGUGGCUGGGUUAGGGAAGAAAUCGUUUCUUUAACUAAGUUAUGUAAUUUAUUGUAGUAUUGUCAUUGUUUGUAACGGAUAGAUUUAAUGGCUGGUGUGACAAUAAGGAGUAACAUUUUGAAGGUCUGAAUAGGAUCAAUGAAUAGAAAGGAGAAGUGAGUUUCUCAUCCAUAAAGAAGUAAGCUAGUAAAUGAUUAUUUGGUAUUUGAUUAUUGACAGAUUUCCAUUGUUUACAAGUCAUAUGACAGAUUUCCUUUAUUUUAAUGUGGUUUACGGAUUUGAUUCUCCUUCA